rnacentral:rRNA from 1 species
AUACGGAGGGUGCAAGCGUUGUUCGGAAUCACUGGGCGUAAAGGGCGCGCAGGCGGUUUUACAAGUCAGAUGUGAAAGCCCACGGCUCAACCGUGGAAGUGCAUUUGAAACUGUAAGACUUGAGUAUCAGAGGGGAAGGUGGAAUUCCCGGUGUAGAGGUGAAAUUCGUAGAUAUCGGGAGGAAUACCGGUGGCGAAGGCGACUUUCUGGCUGAAUACUGACGCUGAGGCGCGAAAGCGUGGGGAGCAAACAGGAUUAGAAACCCGAGUAGUCC